UACAGAGGGUGCGAGCGUUAAUCGGAAUUACUGGGCGUAAAGCGCGCGUAGGUGGCGACGUAAGUCGGGUGUGAAAGCCCCGGGCUCAACCUGGGAAUUGCAUUCGAGACUGCAUUGCUGGAGUACGGAAGAGGAGGGCGGAAUUCCCGGUGUAGCGGUGAAAUGCGUAGAUAUCGGGAGGAACAUCAGUGGCGAAGGCGGCCCUCUGGUCCAGUACUGACACUCAAGUGCGAAAGCGUGGGGAGCAAACAGG
rnacentral:rRNA from 1 species